UGUCUCAGGUCUUUGCCCACAGGCUG
rnacentral:piRNA from 1 species